rnacentral:tRNA from 1 species
GGUAGCAUUCCCGAGUCCGGUCAAAGGGGUAUGACUCAAGUUCAUAUGCGUCACGCUUCGAGGGUUCAAAUCCCUCUGCUACCA